rnacentral:rRNA from 1 species
AUUGAACGCUGGCGGAAUGCUUUACACAUGCAAGUCGAACGGCAGAACGGACUUCGGUCUGGUGGCGAGUGGCGAACGGGUGAGUAAUGUAUCGGAACGUGCCCAGUCGUGGGGGAUAACGUAGUGAAAAUUACGCUAAUACCGCAUACGAUCUAAGGAUGAAAGCAGGGGGUCGCAAGACCUCGCGCGAUUGGAGGGGCCGAUAUCAGAUUAGGUAGUUGGUGGGGUAAAGGCCCACCAAGCCAACGAUCUGUAGCGGGUCUGAGAGGACGACCAGCCACACUGGAACUGAGACACGGUCCAGACUCCUACGGGAGGCAGCAGUGGGGAAUUUUGGACAAUGGGCGAAAGCCUGAUCCAGCCACUCCGCGUGCAGGAUGAAGGCCCUCGGGUUGUAAACUGCUUUUGUACAGAACGAAAAGGUUUCUACUAAUACUAGGAGCUCAUGACGGUACUGUAAGAAUAAGCACCGGCUAACUACGUGCCAGCCGCCGCAGUAA